rnacentral:lncRNA from 1 species
CCUCUUAAAUUUAUAUUUAUUUUUGUACCCUCAUAAAACACUAUUUUUGCACAAAUGCCCCUAAUAUAACCCAAUACUGGGACUGACUGAAUUAUACAGAGAGAGGAAAAGCAGCAAUCCAAGCUCUUUUUGAAUCGGAUAUUGGAUAGGCUAAGCUAGGUGUAGCCCGCUCUCUCUACGGUUUUGCUGAGGAGAUUUGUAAAAA